rnacentral:rRNA from 1 species
GACGAACGCUGGCGGCGUGCUUAACACAUGCAAGUCGUACGGUAAGGCCCUUUCGGGGGUACCCGAGUGGCGAACGGGUGAGUAACACGUGAGUAACCUGCCCACAACUUUGGGAUAACGCUAGGAAACUGGUGCUAAUACUGGAUAUGUGCUCCUGCUGCAUGGUGGGGGUUGGAAAGCUCCGGCGGUUGUGGAUGGACUCGCGGCCUAUCAGCUUGUUGGUGGGGUAGUGGCCUACCAAGGCGGCGACGGGUAGCCGGCCUGAGAGGGUGACCGGCCACAGUGGGACUGAGAUACGGCCCAGACGCCUACGGGAGGCAGCAGUGGGGAAUAUUGCACAAUGGGCGCAAGCCUGAUGCAGCAACGCCGCGUGCGGGAUGACGGCCUUCGGGUUGUAAACCGCUUUCAGCAGGGACGAAGCUUUUUGUGACGGUACCUGCAGAAGAAGCGCCGGCUAACUACGUG